rnacentral:rRNA from 1 species
ACUCAAAUGAAUUGACGGGGGCCCGCACAAGCAGUGGAGUAUGUGGUUUAAUUCGAAGCAACGCGAAGAACCUUACCAGGGCUUGACAUACAGUGGAAUAACCUAGAGAUAGGUUAGCCCUUCGGGGCCGCUGAACAGGUGGUGCAUGGUUGUCGUCAGCUCGUGUCGUGAGAUGUUGGGUUAAGUCCCGCAACGAGCGCAACCCCUGUAGUUAGUUGCCAUCAUUAAGUUGGGCACUCUAGCUAGACUGCCGGUGAUAAAUCGGAGGAAGGUGGGGACGACGUCAAAUCAUCAUGCCCCUUAUGUCCUGGGCUACACACGUACUACAAUGGCCACAACAAUGGGCAGCAAGACCGCAAGGUGGAGCAAAUCCCCAAAAGUGGCCCCAGUUCAGAUUGUGGGCUGAAACCCGCCCACAUGAAGUUGGAAUUGCUAGUAAUGGCAGGUCAGCAUACUGCCGUGAAUACGUUCCCGGGCCUUGUACACACCGCCCGU